rnacentral:rRNA from 1 species
AUAAAACNAUGCCCUCCGGGGCUCACUGGUGAUUCAUGAUAACUCCUCGAAUCGCAUGGCCUUGCGCCGGCGAUGGUUCAUUCAAAUUUCUUCCCUAUCAACUUUCGAUGUUUGGGUAUUGGCCAAACAUGGUUGCAACGGGUAACGGAGGGUUAGGGCUCGACCCCGGAGAAGGAGCCUGAGAAACGGCUACUACAUCCAAGGAAGGCAGCAGGCGCGCAAAUUACCCAAUCCCGACACGGGGAGGUAGUGACAAUAAAUACUGAUACAGGGCUCUUUUGGGUCUUGUAAUUGGAAUGAGUACAAUUUAAAUCCCUUAACGAGGAACAAUUGGAGGGCAAGUCUGGUGCCAGCAGCCGCGGUAAUUCCAGCUCCAAUAGCGUAUAUUAAAGUUGUUGUGGUUAAAAAGCUCGUAGUUGAACCUUGGGCCUGGCUGGCCGGUCCGCCUCACCGCGUGUACUGGUCCGGCCGGGCCUUUCCCUCUGUGGAACCCCAUGCCCUUCACUGGGCGUGGCGGGGAAACAGGACUUUUACUGUGAAAAAAUUAGAGUGCUCCAGGCAGGCCUAUGCUCGAAUACAUUAGCAUGGAAUAAUAGAAUAGGACGUGUGGUUCUAUUUUGUUGGUUUCUAGGACCGCCGUAAUGAUUAAUAGGGACAGUCGGGGGCAUCAGUAUUCAAUUGUCAGAGGUGAAAUUCUUGGAUUUAUUGAAGACUAACUACUGCGAAAGCAUUUGCCAAGGAUGUUUUCAUUAAUCANGAACGAAAGUUAGGG